CGGGGAAUAGCUCAGCUUGGCUAGAGCGCUGCGUUCGGGACGCAGAGGUCGCAGGUUCGAAUCCUGUUUCCCCGA
rnacentral:tRNA from 1 species